GGUGCCGUAGCCUAGCGGUUAAGGCGAUAGACUAAAUCUUUUGGGAUAUUCCCGGGCAGGUUCGAAUCCUGCCGACGACG
rnacentral:tRNA from 1 species